UAUGUGAUCGUCUCUCGCAUAUCAAUAAGCGGAGGAAAAGAAACUAACAAGGAUUCCCCUAGUAACGGCGAGUGAAGCGGGAAGAGCUCAAAUUUGAAAUCUUAAAGGGUUUCCCUUUACGAAUUGUAGUUUAAAGAAGUGUUUUCUGUUGAGGUUUUGGUAAAAGUUCUUUGGAAUAGGACAUCAUAGAGGGUGAGAAUCCCGUAUUUGACCUUUACUUUCAACUUUGUGAUACACUUUCAAAGAGUCGGAUUGUUUGGGAAUGCAGUCCAAAAUGGGUGGUAAAUUUCAUCUAAAGCUAAAUAUUGGCGAGAGACCGAUAGCGAACAAGUACCGUGAGGGAAAGAUGAAAAGAACUUUGAAAAGAGAGUUAAACAGUACGUGAAAUUGUCAAAGGGAAGCGUUUGACACCAGUGUUGUUUUUCUGAAAAUCAAUUAAAGAACUGUUUAUGCUAAGCUGUUUAGACUUUAUCAGCUAACUGUUUAGUUUUGAGCUUUUCUUUAAUGCACUUUUCAGUUAACAAGUCAACAUCAAUUUCUUUUGCUGUAAAAAAGCUUGAGGAAGGUGGCUUGAGAUUCGUCUUAAGUGUUUAUAGCCUCUUGCCUAUGCAGUCGGAGAGAUUGAGGUCUGCAGCGUAGAUCCUUCGGGGCUAAAUGCAUUUGUGCUAAGUUAUAGCAUUUUAUAGACAACUUGUUGACUAUGAUUUGUCUUGUAGCUUACUCGCUUAUGUUAUUUUACCUACGCUUAGGAUGUUGAAGACUCUACAGAGAUA
rnacentral:rRNA from 1 species